UACGUAGGGUGCGAGCGUUAAUCGGAAUUACUGGGCGUAAAGCGUGCGCAGGCGGUUAUGCAAGACAGAUGUGAAAUCCCCGGGCUCAACCUGGGAACUGCAUUUGUGACUGCAUGGCUGGAGUGCGGCAGAGGGGGAUGGAAUUCCGCGUGUAGCAGUGAAAUGCGUGGAUAUGCGGAGGAACACCGAUGGCGAAGGCAAUCCCCUGGGCCUGCACUGACGCUCAUGCACGAAAGCGUGGGGAGCAAACAGG
rnacentral:rRNA from 1 species